CUGGCAUCUCACCGCUGCAUCGGUGCAGUAACUGUUUUGGCUCCACGUCUGAAGUAGGAAUCAGUCGCUAACGUUUUGCAGACUAACGUUCCCAUGAAGCCACAAAGCUGCCCUCAGAAGUGAUGGGAUGGGGCACAAACCAGUCUCUGCCAGGUUACAAGCACCAUGCACUUCUUACUUGCCCAGGGCAGCAAAUGCCUUUGAACCACACUGUUUCCGCCUGGAAAGAACAGUGGAGAUGUGACAACCAUCUGAUGAUUUCGAUCGGGAUAAACAGCUCCGAAGGGACAGGGCUGAAAACAGCGGUUCUCAAAAUGUGGUCCCUGGACCGAAGGCACCAUCACCAUCACCUGAGAACUUGCUAGAAAUGCAAAUCCUGGCUCCAGGCCAGAGCUACUGAACCUGACACUCUGGGGCCUCCAGAGCAGUGAGCGAGGGUUUGAACCCCUCACACCCCGGCCUUUUUAUGAUAGCAUCCCAAAUGGACUAAGACAAGGACAUUAAUGGGAGAACUGGUCCAUACAAAGACCUAACAAGCCAAGCCCCCUCCCGGGAAGAGCACAGCCGAAGCCUUCCCACACAAUGCGUGGCGACUUUUGAGUAGCUUGGACCAAGAUUUAUUGUCAACAGCCCAGUCGGUAACAGCUGUUUGCAUUCCUCAGCCCCUCCAUUGCCUCCUGAAUGUCAAGUCUCUUAGCUGAAAGAGCAUCCUUCAUUUGGCUAUGCCUGCUCGAAAGAAUUACUUUUGCACGGUAUGAUCUGCUCAGCUAUACCCAUCUUCCACAUCCAGUCCUCCCAAGCCGGACAUGAAUACAAAAGAAAUGGAAGAUUAAUUCCAGAUAGUACGUGGCUCAAGCCAAUUAACUCGGCGCACACUGGAUGGUCCCUAAUCGCUCUUCUAGCGAGCGGAGGCUCUGCGUUUCCCUUCUUACUGCCUUCUGGCCUCUCUUUGUAAAUACAUACUAGUCAGAAUUGAA